UUAGGUACGCCACUGAUAAUUAAAAUCUUCAUCCAAAUCUGUUGAAACUUACCUCAACAUAAAGAAAAUGUGUCACACAUUACGAUGAUGCAUUGAUUAAGACAUAUGAUGAAGAAUAACUCAAGUUAUGAUUUUUUGAAAAAAUUAUUUCUAAGUAUUGUCCAUUCCGAACGAAUUGUCGACCGUCGAGUAUCACUUGCCACCGCGCAUGCGCAUUCGGGGAUCGCCAAUUCGGGGCGGAGAUUUUACAUCGCGCACAAGCGCUUCUCGCGGCAUGGUGACGAAGCGUAAGAGCGCAUCAUUUGUGAAUGAGAUUGGUCAUUUUCGCGGCGCUCAUAAAUAUGCAUGUGCGUUCACGAUACGCAUAUUUGUUGUUUUGCAAGGAUUGAGCGCCGGGUUUGUUGUUUUGCUGAUCAGCUGGAGCAGACAGCUGAUGAUCGCUGGCAUUGCAAAACAACCUGGCACAGUGUGCAUGACGAUUGAUUUGAGACUUGAAGUUAAUUUCACAUGUUUUAACUAGAUUAUCUGAAUUACAGUGCACAAUUACGACAUGGAAAACCAUUGGGAUGGAUAUCAAAUAUGGCUAAAUUUGAUUGCUCUUCUGCAUCCAAUGGCACCAACAACAGUAUUAUCAGAGAUGCAACAAACCUUCAUCUUUAUUGGACUCCUCCAUGUACAUUACAAAUAUAAAAAGCGGUAUCUUUCCCAAUAGUCUCAACGUUGCAUGCAGGUUGGGAAACAUGAUGGAAAUUUUUGUUGCCAGGAGGCUGUAUCAUUUGAUGAAAACAUCAGUUUAGAUUCAACCUUACCCACAGAAAUUUUAGGGGCCCUAUGAAGCAUUGCAUCCGCUCUGCCAAACUGCCUCUCACCCGAGAUAUUUGUAGAACUACUCAGGACUGCUAUUAUUGGCCAUGGUGUUAUAAAAAGCCAACAAUUUAGUUAAUAAUUUUCCUGUAAUGAACAUAUAAAUGUAGUUGGACAGUACACGUAUACCAAAAUCACUUGUACAGAAAGUAUCAUUCGUCUCCCAGCUAAAGUUGUGAUGAACUAGCACUUAAUAGAUUUCUUAUAUUCAUAACAUUCAUCAUUCCAGUUCUUAAUUGAUAUUUCAAAAGUUUAAUAUAUCACUUUACAUGCAUCAUAUUGAGCUGUACACUGAAUCUUGCUUCAUGUCAUUUGGGUUCAUCUCUACAUAAUAACCCCCCCCCCCCAGCAAUAGAAAAAUGAAAAUCUAAUA